rnacentral:tRNA from 1 species
GGCCCCAUAGCUCAAUUGGAUAGAGCGGCAGCCUUCGAAGCUGCGGGUUGGCGGUUCGAUUCCGUCUGGGGUCA